AGUGAACGCUGGCGGUAGGCCUAACACAUGCAAGUCGAACGGCAGCAUAGUAAGAGCUUGCUCUUACGGGUGGCGAGUGGCGGACGGGUGAGGAAUACAUCGGAAUCUACUUUUUCGUGGGGGAUAACGUAGGGAAACUUACGCUAAUACCGCAUACGACCUACGGGUGAAAGCAGGGGAUCUUCGGACCUUGCGCGAUUGAAUGAGCCGAUGUCGGAUUAGCUAGUUGGCGGGGUAAAGGCCCACCAAGGCGACGACCCGUAGCUGGUCUGAGAGGAUGAUCAGCCACACUGGAACUGAGACACGGUCCAGACUCCUACGGGAGGCAGCAGUGGGGAAUAUUGGACAAUGGGCGCAAGCCUGAUCCAGCCAUACCGCGUGGGUGAAGAAGGCCUUCGGGUUGUAAAGCCCUUUUGUUGGGAAAGAAAAGCAGCAGGUUAAUACCCCGCUGUUCUGACGGUACCCAAAGAAUAAGCACCGGCUAACUUCGUG
rnacentral:rRNA from 1 species